AAGCUCGAGAUCAGAGUAAAACCGCCCUUCAGCUACGAGUGCCUGCCAGUGGAUAUUGCGGUGAAUCAAGAGUAUCGAGAAAAUCCGGCAUAACAAAGAUAAUACUUACAUUAUCAAUCUGCUGAUCCUGUUGUGCCUUAAUAGCGGCUUUCACUUGAUCCUUGUCAACAUUUCUCUGCAAUUUAAACAUUUUACAGCACAACUGUUAAAGGACCACAAUGGAUUAAGUAGCUACAGAAAGAUUUCACGUGAAAAAUGAUAAAAUCUCCAAAAAAGUUCAAAACUUUUUUAUGCUCCAAAUCAGUAACUCAUAAGUUCCAAUCAUAAAUAACUGGUUAUAAUUGACUUGAAAUCUAACUCAAAAUAAUCAAGUAACAGCUAGAUCAUGUUUCCGGUUUCAUAACUCUAGAAUUAAAAGUAGGUUGAGCUUAACAGGUUAACACGACUGAUUUAGAUUGAUAUAGCUAAAGCGCAUGUAUAAUUAAUAGUGAACAUCAACAGCAUGAAUGCGCAUCAUGUGAAAUCAGACUUACCCCUCGAAGAGAGCCAAAACCGAGUCCAGCACCAACCGUCAAGCGUCGUGGAUCAACAAGAG
rnacentral:lncRNA from 1 species